rnacentral:rRNA from 1 species
UACGAAGGGGGCUAGCGUUGCUCGGAAUCACUGGGCGUAAAGGGUGCGUAGGCGGGUCUUUAAGUCAGGGGUGAAAUCCUGGGAAGCUCCGAACUACCCAGAACUGCCUUGAUUACUGAGGAUCUUGAGUCCGGGAGAGGUGAGUGGAACUGCGAGUGUAGAGGUGAAAUUCGUAGAUAUUCGCAAGAACACCAGUGGCGAAGGCGGCUCACUGGCCCGGUACUGACGCUGAGGCACGGAAAGCGUGGGGAGCAAACAGG